rnacentral:lncRNA from 1 species
UCUGAAUAUUAAUUCAGUUUUCUUUUUAAAUAUUUUAAAACUGGAUUCGACGUAGCUAAAUUGUGGGAGAUAGUUAGUUUGAACUCUGGCCUGGUCAACUUAAAUUCUAAAAAAAAAAUUGUGUGUGUCUAUGCUAAGCAUGCGAUAUCUGCUAAAAACUGUGGUCACACCUUACCAGAUAGCUCGAACGAACGCCGAAAGGAUAAACAAAAGUUUUACAUUUACAAAAGGAAACUAACGACCUUAUUAAUAAUUUUAAAAAAACGAA